rnacentral:rRNA from 1 species
GACGUAGGGCGCGAGCGUUUGUCCGGAUUUAUUGGGCGUAAAGAGCUCGUAGGCGGUUUGUCGCGUCUGCUGUGAAACCCGAGGCUCAACCUCGGGCCUGCAGUGGGUACGGGCAGACUAGAGUGCGGUAGGGGAGAUUGGAAUUCCUGGUGUAGCGGUGGAAUGCGCAGAUAUCAGGAGGAACACCAAUGGCGAAGGCAGAUCUCUGGGCCGUAACUGACGCUGAGGAGCGAAAGCAUGGGAGCGAACAGG